rnacentral:rRNA from 1 species
UACAGGGGGGGGCAAGCGUUGUUCGGAAUUACUGGGCGUAAAGGGUCUGUAGGUGGCCAACUAAGUCAGACGUGAAAUCCCUCAGCUUAACUGGGGAACUGCGUCUGAUACUGGAUGGCUUGAGUGUGGGAGAGGAAUGCGGAAUUCCAGGUGUAGCGGUGAAAUGCGUAGAUAUCUGGAGGAACACCGGUGGCGAAGGCGGCAUUCUGGACCAUAACUGACACUGAGAGACGAAAGCCAGGGGAGCAAACGGG